UACAGAGGUGGCAAGCGUUGUUCGGAAUUACUGGGCGUAAAGGGCGCGUAGGCGGUUCGUUAAGUCCUGUGUGAAAUCCCCCGGCUCAACUGGGGAACUGCACAGGAAACUAGCGGGCUUGAGUUCGGGAGAGGGAAGCGGAAUUCCGGGUGUAGCGGUGAAAUGCGUAGAUAUCCGGAGGAACACCGGUGGCGAAGGCGGCUCCUGGACCGACACUGACGCUGAGGCGCGAAAGCUAGGG
rnacentral:rRNA from 1 species